UUACCGAGUGAGGGCCCUCUGGGUCCAACCUCCCACCCGUGUUUAUUUUACCUUGUUGCUUCGGCGGGCCCGCCUUAACUGGCCGCCGGGGGGCUUACGCCCCCGGGCCCGCGCCCGCCGAAGACACCCUCGAACUCUGUCUGAAGAUUGAAGUCUGAGUGAAAAUAUAAAUUAUUUAAAACUUUCAACAACGGAUCUCUUGGUUCCGGCAUCGAUGAAGAACGCAGCGAAAUGCGAUACGUAAUGUGAAUUGCAAAUUCAGUGAAUCAUCGAGUCUUUGAACGCACAUUGCGCCCCCUGGUAUUCCGGGGGGCAUGCCUGUCCGAGCGUCAUUGCUGCCCUCAAGCCCGGCUUGUGUGUUGGGCCCCGUCCCCCGAUCUCCGGGGGACGGGCCCGAAAGGCAGCGGCGGCACCGCGUCCGGUCCUCGAGCGUAUGGGGCUUUGUCACCCGCUCUGUAGGCCCGGCCGGCGCUUGCCGAUCAACCCAAAUUUUUAUCCAGGUUGACCUCGGAUCAGGUAGGGAUACCCGCUGAACUUAAGCAUAUCAAUAAGCGGAGGAA
rnacentral:rRNA from 1 species